UGGGGAAUAUUGGACAAUGGGCGAAAGCCUGAUCCAGCCAUGCCGCGUGUGUGAAGAAGGUCUUCGGAUUGUAAAGCACUUUAAGUUGGGAGGAAGGGCAGUAAGCGAAUACCUUGCUGUUUUGACGUUACCGACAGAAUAAGCACCGGCUAACUCUGUGCCAGCAGCCGCGGUAAUACAGAGGGUGCAAGCGUUAAUCGGAAUUACUGGGCGUAAAGCGCGCGUAGGUGGUUCGUUAAGUUGAAUGUGAAAGCCCCGGGCUCAACCUGGGAACUGCAUCCAAAACUGGCGAGCUAGCGUAGGGCAGAGGGUGGUGGAAUUUCCUGUGUAGCGGUGAAAUGCGUAGAUAUAGGAAGGAACACCAGUGGCGAAGGCGACCACCUGGGCUCAUACUGACACUGAGGUGCGAAAGCGUGGGGAGCAAACAGG
rnacentral:rRNA from 1 species